UACGAAGGGGGCGAGCGUUGUUCGGAAUUACUGGGCGUAAAGGGCGCGUAGGCGGCCUGCUAAGUCGAACGUGAAAUCCCCGGGCUCAACCCGGGAACUGCGUCCGAUACUGGCAGGCUUGAAUCCGGGAGAGGGAUGUGGAAUUCCAGGUGUAGCGGUGAAAUGCGUAGAUAUCUGGAGGAACACCGGUGGCGAAGGCGGCAUCCUGGACCGGUAUUGACGCUGAUGCGCGAAAGCCAGGGGAGCAAACGGG
rnacentral:rRNA from 1 species